rnacentral:lncRNA from 1 species
CAGGCUUUGCCGCCGCCACCCCCUCUCCUCCGUGCGGGCACUGCAAGUGGCAGGUCCCGAGGUCGCCGCUUCCGUCCGCGCCGGUGGCGGUGCUCGCUGCUUCUGUCCUUGAUCUUUGGUGUCGUUUAUUGGCUCCAGGGCCGCAGGUGGGUCUGGGGACCCCGGGCGGCCGCGGCGCCGCGGGUCGGGUUGUGCAGGCUGGGCGGGUUCUGGGAAAGCCCUCGCCGGUGUGUGCAUGUGGAGGGGUGGCCAGGGCCUCCGGGCUGCAGAGCCAAGGAGAGGGAGAGGAAAGGGGAACAAAUAGGGCUGUCUUUGGGUGGACGACUGGGUUCACGUUUCCCACCAGCCAGUUUUUUCUUGAGGCUGUCAUAGCUGGGAAACGUCUUUAGAGAUGACCGAUGGCCGCCCCCAGGCUGGACUGCAGAGGAGACCAGCCUGGAUCCCAUGCCCAGCCAGAAGCAAGGAAGGGCUGCUGGUCCUGGAGCACCUCACGUUUGUCCAAGUCGCAGCGAUCCACUUCCUCCCUAAUCUCAUUCCCUUUUAAACAUCAAACAUUCUUGAGCUGACCAUUCCACAAAAUUUGCACUUACCUGUUUACUUUUUAAAUGCGUGAUGAAUUGUGCUUGGUUUCCCGGGUAUGUAUAUCAUACACAAAUGGUCGACCUCCAGGAGUUCUGUAACUCCUUGCAUCUACUCCGUUUUGCAUAGGUUAAUCAAUACUUGUAUAAAGUGCUGUGGGAACCAAUAAAAUAAUAGAAUGCUAAUCUUUUAAGUGUCUAAUUACCCACGUUUCCAACGUGAAUUUGGAACGACUCUAAAAAAGAUACACACCAGUUUUCUUUUUAGAAGUUGGGGAGAAAACUGGGUUGAAGAAAAAUUAAUAUUAGGAAAGAUAAAUUGAGGUUAACAUAUGUUUACCUCUCAGAUUGCCUGGGUUCUGUACUACCCCUAUUUGCACAUAUGACCUUAGGCAAGUUGCUUCACCAAGAUUGGCCCUAGAUUUCCUUAUCUGAAAAAUAUGUGCCAACUACAUUGGAAACGUUAUAUUAUUGAAUACCUGUGCAGUACUAUUGUGAAGAUUAUGUGAGUUUGGUGGUUACAAAAAGGAGUAAAAGUUAUACCUGUCAGUGCUCUAAGAUUCAGCUCUUGCUAGGGUGGUCCAAAAAAUUUGGAUCAUCUUCUUGGGCAAAGAUACAUGACAGGGGCUGGAAGCCUAGCCCAGAGGUAGAGCCCAUGCUUACACAAGGUCUGGUUCAUUCCCUAGGAAUCCCUCAACCUCUCCCAAUAAAGAAAGAAAAAGAUACAUGACUAUUUAAAUCCACAAGGUAAAACCCAAUUCAUUUUUCAAGAAUACCAUAGCUACUCUUGGUUUUGAAGUAAAAGCAAAACUUUUUUAUGGGUCCUCAUAUAAGAGGACACUGGUGGGCUGGGGGAUAUAGCUCAGUUGGUAGAGUGCUUGCCUUAUAUGCACAAGGCCCUUGGUUCAAUCCCCAGCAUUACACAAAAAAAGAGACACUGGUAAUACAUAUAGUACUCCUAUGGGCACCACGGGGAUGUGUCCCUAAAGCAGUUGGUCCAUUUUCUUCCUGAAAAACCUAGGCUCGUCUCAGUGAAUCAUGUCCUAGUCCUUACUGCACUUUGCCUGUCAAAUAAAGCUCUCAAAGAACCCAGUUACCCAUCUACUCUCUCCCUCCUACCCAUCUCAGGGGAAAUCAUUCUAGCUUACUUUUUUUCUUGUGCUGAGGACGUAACCUAGGGCCUCUUGUAUGUUAGGCAAGUGCUCCACCACCGAACUACUUCCCCAAUCCUUUAGCUCCCUUCUUGUAUCCAUAAAUCUUUAUCCUUCCUAGUCAUCCAUUUGCUGGAAAACAUACAGGACAAAUGAUGUACAGUGAACUACUCCCAAUGUCCAUUGAAUAUAGGUUGUACAAUUGUAACAUGAAGUGCCUUAGCACUAAAGAUUUGUCAUUUACCUCUUAAGGAUGUUCCUUUGUGGUUGUUGAAUUCAACUCUGGAAAUCCAUCAAUCCCACUGUCUUGGUUCUGGAGUCUGGAGAGCUGUAUCCAGCUAAGAGCCACAGAGACCUGUCUCAUCUCAUGCUCAGGGUAGAGGCAGACCAAACCAAACCUUAGCUUCUGGCCCUUGUUAAGAGAAUGCUAGCAGUAAUGCUUAUACCCUGCAGGUGGCCAUGAGCUUAUAUGACUGGAGCUAAAAAUCAGCAAGUACUUGUUGGUUAAAUACAAAAUGAUAACUAAUAGCUGUGAUAGGGUAGAUUUGACACCUCUUUAAGAAAAUUUAAGGAGUCUAAUAAGGACGGGUAGAAGAAUAAGUGACCACUGAAUUUGCUGAACAUGCAUGAACACAGAGACAAAUUGUCUAGUGUUUUGCAGUUUAGUACUUUUAAAGUUACAGAUAGGGCUGGGGUUGUAGCUUAGUGGUAGAGCACUAGACUAGCAUGUGUGACGCACUGGGUUCAAUCCUUAGCACCACAUAAAAAUAAAGGUAUUAUGUUCAUCUACAACUAAAACAAAAUUUUUUUAAAUAAAGUUACAACUGGGCAUGGCACAUGCCUGUAAUCCCAGUGCCUCAGGAGGCUGAGACAAGAGGAUCACAAGUUCAAAGCCAGCCUCAAGAAAAGCGAGGCACUAAGCAACUCAGACCCUGGCUCUAAAUAGAAUACAGAAAAGGGCUGGGGAUAUGGCUCAGUGGUCAACUGAUUGCCUCUGAGUUCAAUACCCGGUACCAAAAAAGGAGAAAAAAAAAAUUAUCUUAUUUAAGGUCCUCAUUAUUAUUUCCAUACUUUACUGGCUCAAGUUUAUAAAGCAAGUAAACAGUUAACUUGGCGCUUGAUUGGUAUCACAAAAAGUACUUUAAGAUCUAAAUGUAAGAAAUGUUAUUUAAUAAAAACAUGGUGCUAAGAAAUAAAUAAAAUUGCUUGCCCCUACCUUCCUCCAAGAAGUUAUUUGCAUCAAAAUCAACUAAGGACUUCUUUCAACUACUUAUCUCUCCAGCCUUGCCCUGGAGGUGAAGCUAGGGAGUCCCUGUUCUGAAAAUGGCUCCCCAGAUGAUUCUGAUGUGCACUCAAGGUUGAGAACUCCAGCUGUAGACAGUAGACUAAACCUUAAUUGAUAACUGAAUUGUAAUCAUGAAUGUAAAUAUCUCAUUGUGUACUUGCAUCGUUUUCUUUUUUUAAUAAUGUUUUUUAGUUCUAGAUGAACAUAAUACCUUUAUUUGAUUUUUAUGUGGUGCUGAGGGUUGAACCCAGUGCCUCAGGUACUAGGCAAGUGCUCUACCACUGAGCUACAACUUCAGCCCUCCAUCAAAAUUUUCUACCUCAGUAGUCUUUAGACUGGAACCUGCUGUGGGUAGCAUUACUUGUUACUUAUGAAGUACAGUAUAUAUAGUAACUGUGCAGAUUUUAAACUUCAUUGCCAUGACCACAUCCAGUGACUUUGGAUAAUGGGUGUUUAAAACGUGAGAAAUAGGGUUGGGGAUAUAGCUCAGUUGGUAGAGGGCCUGUUUGCACUAAGGCUCUGGGUUCAACCCCCAGUACCACCAAAAAAGAAAAAAAGUAAAGUGUGAGAAAUAAAGAAAUAGAAUUAUGUAAAUAUGCAGAUCAAUGUCAGAAGGAGAGGUAGGAAUUGAGUCUGCAUUAAGCCUAGCACAUAUUGAACUAAUUACUAUUAUUUACAGUAAUGUACUGCCCUCUCUACUAGGGUGUUGUCACGUCUUUGCUAUUGUGUGAUUUAUUCAUGUGCCUGUGGAUGUACUUUUAUUUCAUCUGUUUGCACAAAUUUUUAAAGAAAAUUGGCAAUUCAGUUAUGUUUUCAUUAAUGCAUGUGUUAUUUUUUCACCUGGUGACUAUGGUUCUAUUCCUCCUCCUCUUUCAAAAGCACUUAGAUCUUAAGAGCUCUUAAGUAUCAUAAAUACCAGUUCAGGGUGCCAGGCAUGGUGGUGCCUGCCUGUAAUCCCUACCGUUCAAGAGGCUGAGGCAGGAGGAUCCGGAGUUCAAAGCCACCCCAGCAAUUUAUGGAGACCUUAAGCAGCUCCUGAGAGACCCUGUCUCUAAUAAAAUAUAAAAAAGGGCUGGGGAUGUGGCUCGGUGGUGAAGCACACCUGCGCUCAAUCCCUGGUACCAAAAUAAAUAAAUAAAUGAAUUCAGGGAGGGGAUGUUAGAGGAGGCAGAGCUUUGGAAUAAACCUGAAUUUGAAUUCCAGCCCUGGGCUUAAUAGUUAUUUUAUUUGAGCUAUUUUCUUAUCUGUAAAAUGAGAAAAAUAAUAGUUAUUUCACCUUAAACAUAGAAAAUAAAUAGUAGCUCUACUACCUAGUAGUCAUCCCAUAAAUGUGUGUUCCUGUCUCCUUUUACAUUCUUUUUAAUAGUUGAUAGAUCUUAUUUAUUUAUUUAUGGUGCUGAGAAUCGAACCCCGUGCCUCACAAAUGCCAGGCAAGUGCUCUACUGCUGAGCCACAACCCCAGGCCCUCCUUUUACAUUUUGUAGUCUUUUAAUUGAGCUUUCAAAUUUGUGACAUUGUAAUUUUUUAAAAAAUUUCUCAUAGGAUUAAUUUUCAGUAAUUAUAACAAUAUAAACUAUUCCACUUCUGGCAAGAUAGCAUUAUUAAAAUUGUGUUUGCAUUAUAAGAAAUUCUAAAGCAAUUUUACAUGUAUAAAACUUCUGAAUUAGGGCCUGGAGUUGUGGCUCAGCGGUAGAGCACUUGCCUAGCAUGUGCUAGGCCCUGGGUUCUAUCAUCAGCACCACAUAAAAAUAAAUAAAAUAAAGAUAUUGUGUCCAACUACAAAAAAUAAAUAUAAAAAAACUUCUGAAUUAAUAUUAGGAGGAUGCAAAUAAUCAGCUUCUAUGGGUAGAAUUUUUUCUCUCCAUUUGUUAUAACAAUUCACUGAUGAAGAGAGAAAUAAAAUUUAAUAAAUAGACUUCAGUGUAGUGUAAUUUUUAUACUGACCAUUUUUUCCAAUCUUCAUCAAGUUGAUUUUAAUUACUAUAUUCUGAUGACAAGUAAAUAUACAAAGGCUUUUAAAUUAAAAAUAGUUUUAAAACUAUUAUUUAAAACUAUUUUUUACAUUUUCAUACCUGUUAUACUUUCAAUACCUAUCUCUUAACAUCCACAGCUAUCUUCCUCUUUCAUAUGCAAUUUAAAAGACAUUUCAAAGGCAAUUUUAUGCCUCUAUUAAUAUAUUUUUCUUUUUAGCAGUCAUGGUGAACUUACUUCAGAUUGUGCGGGACCACUGGGUUCAUGUACUCGUCCCUAUGGGAUUUGUUGUUGGAUGUUAUCUAGACAGAAAGAAUGAUGAAAAACUNAAAAAAAAAAAAAAAAAAAAAAUAUAUAUAUA